rnacentral:rRNA from 1 species
CGUGGGUAACCUGCCCAAGAGAUCGGGAUAACACCUGGAAACAGAUGCUAAUACCGGAUAACAACAGAUGAUGCCUAUCAACUGUUUAAAAGAUGGUUCUGCUAUCACUCUUGGAUGGACCUGCGGUGCAUUAGCUAGUUGGUAGGGUAACGGCCUACCAAGGCGAUGAUGCAUAGCCGAGUUGAGAGACUGAUCGGCCACAUUGGGACUGAGACACGGCCCAAACUCCUCGGGAGGCAGCAGUC